AACGAACGCUGGCGGCAUGCUUAACACAUGCAAGUCGAACGUAGAUCCUUGCCCUUCGGGUGGGGUGAAAGUGGCGGACGGGUGAGUAACGCGUGGGAACCUGCCUGGUGGUUGGGGAUAACUGCGGGAAACUGCAGCUAAACACCCGAUGCGCCCCCGGAGCGAUCCGGGGGAAAGAUUCAUCGCCAUACGGAGGGGCCCGCGUCGGAUUAGGUAGUUGGUGGGGUAACGGCCUACCAAGCCUUCGAUCCGAGCUGGUCUGAGAGGAUGAU
rnacentral:rRNA from 1 species